rnacentral:ncRNA from 2 species
UGGUCGAUACACGGGAGUCCUGGGGUACGCAGGGCUGAGAGUGGACACGCCGUCCUUACCGUCAAUACCUGAACCGGAUCAUGCCGGCGCAGGGAGUGAGGUGGUUGUGAGA